rnacentral:rRNA from 1 species
AGGGCACCCCCGGGAGUGGAGCCAGCGGCUUAAUUUGACUCAACACGAGAAAACUUACCUGGUCAGGACACUGGAAGGAUUGACAGAUUGAGAGCUCUUUCUUGAUUCGGUGGGUGGUGGGGCAUGGCCGUUCCUCGUUGGUGGAGCGAUUUGUCUGGUUAAUUCCAAAAACCAACGAGACUCUAGCCUACAAAAUAGACUGCUCAACUUUAUAGCCCCACCACCUUGCGGUUGCUUCCGUGGCCGUAAGGCUGUUUCGACGUUUGGAGUGUUUCUUACAUGGACAGGGGUCGGGGGAGCCGCCCGAAACACAGCAUUAACUGGUCUGUGAUGCCCUUAGAUGUCCAGGGCCGCACGCGCGCUACACUGAAGUGAUCAGCGUGAAAUUAAUGUUUCCUACUCCGUCAGGAGUGGGUAACCCGAUGAACCUUCUUCGUGAUGGCGAUCGGGGAUUGAGAUUAUUCCCCUUGAACGAGCAAAUCCCAGUCAGCGCAAGUACUAAGCGUGCGUUGAUGACAU